AAACCUUGAAUAAACUGCUUUGCAACAGCUACCAUGGCCCCUGGUUCUUUUUCUAAUUCCUUAUCCUUGCCUUUGGGCUUGCUUGUUCCUUUAGGUCUUUACUGCAUCGGUCCAGAGAGAACUUCUGUGCUGCACGCUACAGUUGCAUGCCCUCCUGUUAAGCUGAGCACUCACCAUUGCCCAGCUGGAACUGUUUUAUGUCUUCCCCUGGAUUCACACUUUCUCCUGCAUCAGAGCAUAAGCUGCACAGAGCUCAAUGCAAGAAGCCACAUUUAAGACUGUGCAUCUGAAUGCCUGAAGUAAAAACCACAGUCACAAGGGAUGUGUGUGGAAUGGAAGAAAACUGGAAAAACAAGAAACUGACCUGAAUGGAUGGCCAAAUACUGCAGCUGCACAUGCAGGUGUGUAUCCACGCCAGAUAGACACAGAGCUGGAAGAAGAUGGGGUGUGAUUGGAACUGCUCUGGGUUGGUUUCAGUGAUCUCACGGCAGUCAUCACUACAUAGCCCGUUGGAGCCCACACCAUGGCUUGACACGAGUGUGCACACGCAGUCGAAGCCACCCUUAAUGCUUGCUGUUCUGCGUCCUUUGAUGUCUCUUGCUCAGCAGUCCAGCUAUUACAGGAGUCAGAUAAAGUUAUACGGGAAGAAACAGCAUGAGUUUGAGCUCCUAACUGAAGAGAUGCAGAACUUUUUGAAAACUACAGCACGGAUGAACCUGGAAAACAUUACGCUAAGUGAAAGAAGCCAAAGGCCAUGUAUUGAUUCUGUUUAUAUGAAGUGUCCAGAAUAG
rnacentral:lncRNA from 1 species